UACGUAGGGUGCAAGCGUUGUCCGGAAUUAUUGGGCGUAAAGAGCUCGUAGGCGGCCUGUUGCGUCCGCUGUGAAAGCCCGGGGCUUAACCCCGGGUCUGCAGUGGAUACGGGCAGGCUAGAGGUAGGUAGGGGAGAAUGGAAUUCCCGGUGUAGCGGUGAAAUGCGCAGAUAUCGGGAGGAACACCGGUGGCGAAGGCGGUUCUCUGGGCCUUACCUGACGCUGAGGAGCGAAAGCGUGGGGAGCAAACAGG
rnacentral:rRNA from 1 species